rnacentral:rRNA from 1 species
ACGUAGGGAGCGAGCGUUGUCCGGAUUUACUGGGUGUAAAGGGUGCGUAGGCGGCUGAGCAAGUCAGGUGUGAAAACCAUCGGCUUAACUGAUGGACUGCAUUUGAAACUGCUUGGCUUGAGUGGAGCAGAGGCAGGCGGAAUUCCCGGUGUAGCGGUGAAAUGCGUAGAGAUCGGGAGGAACACCAGUGGCGAAGGCGGCCUGCUGGGCUUUAACUGACGCUGAGGCACGAAAGCAUGGGUAGCAAACAGGAUUAGAUACCC